rnacentral:rRNA from 1 species
AGUGAACGCUGGCGGUAGGCCUAACACAUGCAAGUCGAACGGCAGCACAGUAAGAGCUUGCUCUUACGGGUGGCGAGUGGCGGACGGGUGAGGAAUACAUCGGAAUCUACUUUUUCGUGGGGGAUAACGUAGGGAAACUUACGCUAAUACCGCAUACGACCUACGGGUGAAAGCAGGGGAUCUUCGGACCUUGCGCGAUUGAAUGAGCCGAUGUCGGAUUAGCUAGUUGGCGGGGUAAAGGCCCACCAAGGCGACGAUCCGUAGCUGGUCUGAGAGGAUGAUCAGCCACACUGGAACUGAGACACGGUCCAGACUCCGACGGGAGGCAGCAGGGGGGAAUAUUGGACAAUGGGCGCAAGCCUGAUCCAGCCAUACCGCGGGGGUGAAGAAGGCCUUCGGGUUGUAAAGCCCUUUUGUUGGGAAAGAAAAGCAGCAGGUUAAUACCCCGCUGUUCUGACGGUACCCAAAGAAUAAGCACCGGCGAACUUCGU